GACGAACGCUGGCGGCGUGCCUAAUACAUGCAAGUCGAGCGGACCGAACAGGAGCUUGCUCUUGUUCGGUUAGCGGCGGACGGGUGAGUAACACGUGGGUAACCUGCCCGUAAGACCGGGAUAACUCCGGGAAACCGGAGCUAAUACCGGAUAACACCGAAGACCGCAUGGUCUUUGGUUGAAAGGCGGCUUCGGCUGCCACUUACGGAUGGGCCCGCGGCGCAUUAGCUAGUUGGUGAGGUAACGGCUCACCAAGGCGACGAUGCGUAGCCGGCCUGAGAGGGUGACCGGCCACACUGGGACUGAGACACGGCCCAGACUCCUACGGGAGGCAGCAGUAGGGAAUCUUCCGCAAUGGACGAAAGUCUGGCGGAGCGACGCCGCGUGAGCGAAGAAGGUCUUCGGAUCGUAAAGCUCUGUUGUUAGGGAAGAAGAAGCGUCGUUCGAACAGGGCGGCGCGGUGACGGUACCUAACGAGAAAGCCCCGGCUAACUACGUG
rnacentral:rRNA from 1 species